UAUUGCAAAACUUUCCAGCAAAAGUGAUGUGUGGUCCUUUGGAGUCGUUCUCUAUGAGAUAUUCACCAUGGGAGGCAUUCCUUACCCGGGCUGGUCAGAAGCCAGGACAAUAGCAGAAGUGCAGAGGGGUUAUCGCAUGCCG